AUUGAACGCUGGCGGCAGGCUUAACACAUGCAAGUCGAGCGGUAACAUUUUUAGCUUGCUAGAAGAUGACGAGCGGCGGACGGGUGAGUAAUACUUAGGAAUUUACCUAGUAGUGGGGGAUAGCACGGGGAAACUUGUAUUAAUACCGCAUUCGACCUACGGGAGAAAGGGGGCAGUUUACUGCUCUCGCUAUUAGAUGAGCCUAAGUUGGAUUAGCUAGAUGGUGGGGUAAAGGCCUACCAUGGGGACGAUUUGUAGCUGGUUUGAGAGGAUGAUCAGCCACACCGGGACUGAGACACGGCCCGGACUCCUACGGGAGGCAGCAGUGGGGAAUAUUGGACAAUGGGGGCAACCCUGAUCCAGCCAUGCCGCGUGUGUGAAGAAGGCCUUUUGGUUGUAAAGCACUUUAAGCAGUGAAGAAGACUCCAUGGUUAAUACCCAUGGACGAUGACAUUAGCUGCAGAAUAAGCACCGGCUAACUUUGUG
rnacentral:rRNA from 1 species